GAUCCUGGCUCAGGAUGAACGCUAGCUACAGGCUUAACACAUGCAAGUCGAGGGGCAGCGAGAAGGAAGCUUGCUUCUUGUCGGCGACCGGCGCACGGGUGAGUAACGCGUAUCCAACCUUCCCCUUAGUAGGGCAUAGCCCGUAGAAAUGCGGAUUAAUACCCUAUGUUGUUCGAUGCGGACAUCUAAGUUGAACCAAAGGUUUACCGCUAAGGGAUGGGGAUGCGUCCGAUUAGGCAGCAGGCGGGGUAACGGCCCACCUGGCCAACGAUCGGUAGGGGUUCUGAGAGGAAGGUCCCCCACAUUGGAACUGAGACACGGUCCAAACUCCUACGGGAGGCAGCAGUGAGGAAUAUUGGUCAAUGGGCGCGAGCCUGAACCAGCCAAGUAAGCGUGCAGGACGACGGCCCUAUGGGUUGUAAACUGCUUUUAUGCGGGGAUAAAGUGACGUACGUGUACGUUUUUGUAGGUACCGCAUGAAUAAGGACCGGCUAAUUCCGUGCCAGCCGCCGC
rnacentral:rRNA from 1 species